CCCAAACUAGCACAAGUGUUUCUAUAACUCUAUAGAAACACAGGAAAAAAUGUUUUCUAUUUCCUUUAUUAAAUAACCUUGUGAUAAUAACACAAAAACAAUAUUUUUAACGCGAUUAAAAAGUAUAUUCUCAUUACACAAUAACAAGAAAAUGUUGCCUAGCAACAAUACCGGCAUCAAUUUUCAGUUUUGCCGACUGCAAAAUUAUGGAAAAAACACGCUGAAAAAGUUGAUUUAAAGAAAAUUUAAAGCGAAAAAACGUUUGGUAAGUGUUUUCCAUUGCUUGUUUAACAAAAUUUCAGGUUGACGAAGAUUUUUAAUCGAUAUUUCAGGCGAAAACGUUUGUUUUAGUGUGUUGUUUUGAGGUUCGUGGAAAAUUCCCG